rnacentral:rRNA from 1 species
UACGUAGGGUGCAAGCGUUAAUCGGAAUUACUGGGCGUAAAGCGUGCGCAGGCGGUUUUGUAAGUCUGAUGUGAACUCCCCGGGCUCAACCUGGGAAUUGUAUUGGAGACUGCAAGGCUAGAAUCUGGCAGAGGGGGGUAGAAUUCCACGUGUAGCAGUGAAAUGCGUAGAGAUGUGGAGGAACACCGAUGGCGAAGGCAGCCCCCUGGGUCAAGAUUGACGCUCAUGCACGAAAGCGUGGGGAGCAAACAGG